CCGCCUGCCAGUCUAAAUUCCAGUACAGAGUUAAGAAUGGGUUGACAUUAUUUGUGCAAUUAUUACAAUAAUGCAGCAGUCUGCAUAACAGUAAAUCUUCUAUUUUUUUGUGAAUAAAAAUUCCAAAUGGUUUCCCUGCCUCAGUGGAAGACAGCUGCCAAGUUAAAAAAAAUAUACAGCAGCUGAGGGAGCAACUCUCUCACCAACUGAAGCAACUACCUCAGCAAACAUCUUCCUAUCUUCACUUUGCACAAUUGAUGCCACAGGAGUACCAAGAACACGAACUCCAUACUUGGCCCACACACCAGCCCGCUCAAGUUCCACACCACAGUUAAGGGCAGUCUGGCCUCCAAAUGUCAGGAGGACACCAUCUGGACGUUCUGAUUUGAUUACCUAAGA